CCUUGCUCCUCAGCUUGCAGACGGCCUACUGUGGAACCUUCUGAUCAUAAUGCACCCGAAGGGUCUUCCUCUCCAUGAGGCUUCCCUUGUCCUGCUGAAGUUACUGAGCAUUCCCUAACCACCACCUUUACAACUGAGCAGAUGGCCUGCUUACAGGUGAACACACAGAGUUCCUACCCUUUAGAAGAUGUGGAUCUCACCAAACCACUGAACAUGUCUGUACCUUUAUCUUGGA